GGGUUGUGAGGUUAAGCGACUAAGCGUACACGGUGGAUGCCCUGGCAGUCAGAGGCGAUGAAGGACGUGCUAAUCUGCGAUAAGCGUCGGUAAGGUGAUAUGAACCGUUAUAACCGGCGAUUUCCGAAUGGGGAAACCCAGUGUGAUUCGUCACACUAUCAUUAACUGAAUCCAUAGGUUAAUGAGGCGAACCGGGGGAACUGAAACAUCUAAGUACCCCGAGGAAAAGAAAUCAACCGAGAUUCCCCCAGUAGCGGCGAGCGAACGGGGAGCAGCCCAGAGCCUGAAUCAGUGUGUGUGUUAGUGGAAGCGUCUGGAAAGGCGCGCGAUACAGGGUGACAGCCCCGUACACAAAAAUGCACAUGCUGUGAGCUCGAUGAGUAGGGCGGGACACGUGGUAUCCUGUCUGAAUAUGGGGGGACCAUCCUCCAAGGCUAAAUACUCCUGACUGACCGAUAGUGAACCAGUACCGUGAGGGAAAGGCGAAAAGAACCCCGGCGAGGGGAGUGAAAAAGAACCUGAAACCGUGUACGUACAAGCAGUGGGAGCACAGAGCAAUCUGUGUGACUGCGUACCUUUUGUAUAAUGGGUCAGCGACUUAUAUUCUGUAGCAAGGUUAACCGAAUAGGGGAGCCGAAGGGAAACCGAGUCUUAACUGGGCGUUAAGUUGCAGGGUAUAGACCCGAAACCCGGUGAUCUAGCCAUGGGCAGGUUGAAGGUUGGGUAACACUAACUGGAGGACCGAACCGACUAAUGUUGAAAAAUUAGCGGAUGACUUGUGGCUGGGGGUGAAAGGCCAAUCAAACCGGGAGAUAGCUGGUUCUCCCCGAAAGCUAUUUAGGUAGCGCCUCGUGAAUUCAUCUCCGGGGGUAGAGCACUGUUUCGGCAAGGGGGUCAUCCCGACUUACCAACCCGAUGCAAACUGCGAAUACCGGAGAAUGUUAUCACGGGAGACACACGGCGGGUGCUAACGUCCGUCGUGAAGAGGGAAACAACCCAGACCGCCAGCUAAGGUCCCAAAGUCAUGGUUAAGUGGGAAACGAUGUGGGAAGGCCCAGACAGCCAGGAUGUUGGCUUAGAAGCAGCCAUCAUUUAAAGAAAGCGUAAUAGCUCACUGGUCGAGUCGGCCUGCGCGGAAGAUGUAACGGGGCUAAACCAUGCACCGAAGCUGCGGCAGCGACGCUUAUGCGUUGUUGGGUAGGGGAGCGUUCUGUAAGCCUGUGAAGGUGUACUGUGAGGUAUGCUGGAGGUAUCAGAAGUGCGAAUGCUGACAUAAGUAACGAUAAAGCGGGUGAAAAGCCCGCUCGCCGGAAGACCAAGGGUUCCUGUCCAACGUUAAUCGGGGCAGGGUGAGUCGACCCCUAAGGCGAGGCCGAAAGGCGUAGUCGAUGGGAAACAGGUUAAUAUUCCUGUACUUGGUGUUACUGCGAAGGGGGGACGGAGAAGGCUAUGUUGGCCGGGCGACGGUUGUCCCGGUUUAAGCGUGUAGGCUGGUUUUCCAGGCAAAUCCGGAAAAUCAAGGCUGAGGCGUGAUGACGAGGCACUACGGUGCUGAAGCAACAAAUGCCCUGCUUCCAGGAAAAGCCUCUAAGCAUCAGGUAACAUCAAAUCGUACCCCAAACCGACACAGGUGGUCAGGUAGAGAAUACCAAGGCGCUUGAGAGAACUCGGGUGAAGGAACUAGGCAAAAUGGUGCCGUAACUUCGGGAGAAGGCACGCUGAUAUGUAGGUGAAGCGACUUGCUCGUGGAGCUGAAAUCAGUCGAAGAUACCAGCUGGCUGCAACUGUUUAUUAAAAACACAGCACUGUGCAAACACGAAAGUGGACGUAUACGGUGUGACGCCUGCCCGGUGCCGGAAGGUUAAUUGAUGGGGUCAGCGCAAGCGAAGCUCUUGAUCGAAGCCCCGGUAAACGGCGGCCGUAACUAUAACGGUCCUAAGGUAGCGAAAUUCCUUGUCGGGUAAGUUCCGACCUGCACGAAUGGCGUAAUGAUGGCCAGGCUGUCUCCACCCGAGACUCAGUGAAAUUGAACUCGCUGUGAAGAUGCAGUGUACCCGCGGCAAGACGGAAAGACCCCGUGAACCUUUACUAUAGCUUGACACUGAACAUUGAGCCUUGAUGUGUAGGAUAGGUGGGAGGCUUUGAAGUGUGGACGCCAGUCUGCAUGGAGCCGACCUUGAAAUACCACCCUUUAAUGUUUGAUGUUCUAACGUUGACCCGUAAUCCGGGUUGCGGACAGUGUCUGGUGGGUAGUUUGACUGGGGCGGUCUCCUCCUAAAGAGUAACGGAGGAGCACGAAGGUUGGCUAAUCCUGGUCGGACAUCAGGAGGUUAGUGCAAUGGCAUAAGCCAGCUUGACUGCGAGCGUGACGGCGCGAGCAGGUGCGAAAGCAGGUCAUAGUGAUCCGGUGGUUCUGAAUGGAAGGGCCAUCGCUCAACGGAUAAAAGGUACUCCGGGGAUAACAGGCUGAUACCGCCCAAGAGUUCAUAUCGACGGCGGUGUUUGGCACCUCGAUGUCGGCUCAUCACAUCCUGGGGCUGAAGUAGGUCCCAAGGGUAUGGCUGUUCGCCAUUUAAAGUGGUACGCGAGCUGGGUUUAGAACGUCGUGAGACAGUUCGGUCCCUAUCUGCCGUGGGCGCUGGAGAACUGAGGGGGGCUGCUCCUAGUACGAGAGGACCGGAGUGGACGCAUCACUGGUGUUCGGGUUGUCAUGCCAAUGGCACUGCCCGGUAGCUAAAUGCGGAAGAGAUAAGUGCUGAAAGCAUCUAAGCACGAAACUUGCCCCGAGAUGAGUUCUCCCUGACUCCUUGAGAGUCCUGAAGGAACGUUGAAGACGACGACGUUGAUAGGCCGGGUGUGUAAGCGCAGCGAUGCGUUGAGCUAACCGGUACUAAUGAACCGUGAGGCUUAACCUUACAACGCCGAAGGUGUUU
rnacentral:rRNA from 1 species